GCCCCCGUAGCUCAGCGGAUAGAGCGUUGCCCUCCGGAGGCAGAGGCACAGGUUCGAGUCCUGUCGGGGGCA
rnacentral:tRNA from 1 species